GAUGAACGCUGGCGGCGUGCUUAACACAUGCAAGUCGAACGAAGCGCUUGAGAUUGAUUCUUCGGAAGAUUUCUCUUGUGACUUAGUGGCGGACGGGUGAGUAACGCGUGGGUAACCUGCCUCACACAGGGGGAUAACAGUUGGAAACGACCGCUAAUACCGCAUAACCCGCUAGGGCCGCAUGGCCCGGACGGAAAAGAUUUAUCGGUGUGAGAUGGACCCGCGUUGGAUUAGCUAGUUGGCAGGGUAACGGCCUACCAAGGCGACGAUCCAUAGCCGGCCUGAGAGGGUGAACGGCCACAUUGGGACUGAGACACGGCCCAAACUCCUACGGGAGGCAGCAGUGGGGAAUAUUGCACAAUGGGGGAAACCCUGAUGCAGCGACGCCGCGUGAGUGAAGAAGUAUUUCGGUAUGUAAAGCUCUAUCAGCAGGGAAGAAAAUGACGGUACCUGACUAAGAAGCCCCGGCUAACUACGUGCCAGCAGCCGCCGUAA
rnacentral:rRNA from 1 species